rnacentral:sRNA from 1 species
CUUGGUCAUUUAGAGGAAGUAAAAGUCGUAACAAGGUCUCCGUUGGUGAACCAGCGGAGGGAUCAUUACCGAGUUUACAACUCCCAAACCCCUGUGAACAUACCACUUGUUGCCUCGGCGGAUCAGCCCGCUCCCGGUAAAACGGGACGGCCCGCCAGAGGACCCCUAAACUCUGUUUCUAUAUGUAACUUCUGAGUAAAACCAUAAAUAAAUCAAAACUUUCAACAACGGAUCUCUUGGUUCUGGCAUCGAUGAAGAACGCAGCAAAAUGCGAUAAGUAAUGUGAAUUGCAGAAUUCAGUGAAUCAUCGAAUCUUUGAACGCACAUUGCGCCCGCCAGUAUUCUGGCGGGCAUGCCUGUUCGAGCGUCAUUUCAACCCUCAAGCACAGCUUGGUGUUGGGACUCGCGUUAAUUCGCGUUCCUCAAAUUGAUUGGCGGUCACGUCGAGCUUCCAUAGCGUAGUAGUAAAACCCUCGUUACUGGUAAUCGUCGCGGCCACGCCGUUAAACCCCAACUUCUGAAUGUUGACCUCGGAUCAGGUAGGAAUACCCGCUGAACUUAAGCAUAUCAAUAAGCGGAGGAAAAGAAACCAACAGGGAUUGCCCUAGUAACGGCGAGUGAAGCGGCAACAGCUCAAAUUUGAAAUCUGGCUCUCGGGCCCGAGUUGUAAUUUGUAGAGGAUACUUUUGAUGCGGUGCCUUCCGAGUUCCCUGGAACGGGACGCCAUAGAGGGUGAGAGCCCCGUCUGGUUGGAUGCCAAAUCUCUGUAAAGUUCCUUCAACGAGUCGAGUUGUUUGGGAAU